AUAAGCAAGCCAUAACACACCUCUCCCGAGUCACCAACUCACUGGCACUGCUCCCUCUUCCCUCACCUUCAUUCAUUUUAUUUUUUCUUCUAUCCAUUUCCCAUAAAUUUCAAAUUCAUCAACCUGUAAAUCAAAUUGUCUCCUCCAAAUUCCAAAUCACACGAAGAAAUCUAGAAUAUUCUCGGGAUUCGAACUUGGAGUUUAUUCUUGAAGCACGCAAUUAGGAUUUUCUUUGAGCGCUCCAGAUUCAGCAUCAAGGCGUCGUUAUGGAAACAAUGUAGGAGAACGAGAUCUUCGUGCUAGUAAAUCGAAUCGUGCAAAAUUCUAAUUUUCGAUGGAAAACAACUGCGUGGGACCGAACGCCAGUGGCGGAAACAACUUCCUCAAAUCAAUGUUGGUGGCGAUCUGGAGAACGCGGCCACCGUAGACCAGGCUCCUGGCACAAGACGUCGCUUCCACGUAGCAACCACCAACAAUAGGGAGACUCCAUCACAGUCUCCGGUGCCAUCAAUUCCCGCUCUGAUAUCUACCACCGUGGCCGUAGAAAGUAGCAAAGUCCUCGAGCAAAUUGUUCUCCUUUUUCCUUCAUUCCAUUCAGUCUCCUUCAUUUCAUUCUAAAAUGUGAAUUUUCUCUAGUUUUGUGAUAAUUCCUGUUUUGUGCUUUGUAUCUUAUUAUAUGAAGAAUUAUUUUGUUGGAAGCUUUAAAUUCUGUUUGUUUUAAAAUUCAUUUUAAUUUUACUAGUACAUAACAUGUUCGAUGAAAUGUUUCAACUAGAAUUAUGGCUGUUUGAUGCAUUUCUAAUAGAAGGACAGAUAAGAGUGCAAUUGAUGCACUAAUAUGCAAUUAUAUUGGUCCAAUGUCAAGAGUUACAUUGUUAAUUAAGUGAUUCUUGCAAUCUUAUGUAAUGUGAACUUCUUUUUGAAUAACAUUUUUAAGUGUUGUAGUUUAUUUUUUUCUUUUUUCGUGUGGUAUUAAUGCAGUUUGUCUAAAUUAAUUAAUUUAGUGAUUAAUUAUAAGAUGAGUAUAAAUCAAUUAAUUUGCAGGAAAUUUGAUAUCACCUUUGUAUAUGUUUUCCAAAGCAUGUUACCAAUCACUCUUAUUACUAUUAAUUAAUUGUGCUCAAUGCAAUAAUAUUGCAGGAAGCAUUUUCUCUCUCUGAUUCUAAAGUUCUUGAGGGAGUGGUACACUCUAUUCUUUCAUUUAUUGGAAACUUUUUCAUUUUCAAAAAAGAAAACCUACUAAUUCUAGACUUGCAUUUACCUGAUUUGUUAGUUUUAUUUAUAUCUCUUUGCAUAUGUAUAUUUUUAUGAAAAUUAUUUGAGGCACUGGUAUAAUGAAUCUCAUUUGUUUGAAUAUAAUUAACAAUUAUGUGUUUUUCGUUGUUUCAGCUUGUCAAGUGGCAGAACUUGAUGUAAUACAAUAUAUAUACACUAAUUCCGUGGUGACCUUUGGUACUCUCUUCAACUUUGGUCAUAAAUUCUCUGUGACUGAGAUAUUCUCUUAGUGAUACUGUUCAAGUGUUUCAAGUUUUGAUUGAGAUCAGAUUUAAUAAUAAUGUUUCUUGCACGGCUGCACCUAGUAUUUCUACGGGCACUUUGAGUUCCAUGUAUAGUGAAAUAAUUGUUGUUCAAUUCAACAUUUAACUGUUUAUAUAUAGCUCAAGGUCUGACUUUUGUUAAUAGUGUAUAUUGGAUGCAUUUUGAUGAAGUAUUUUCUGACAAGCUAAUUUAGCUUCUUUAUUCUACAACUUCAUCAUUUCUUUAAAAUGGUUGUGAAUUUUACUUCAAACCUGGACUACUCUUGUCUAAUACAGAAAAGAUACAAUAUUAUGACAAUUCAAUCAUUUUCUAUGGUGAAAUUUAAAAACUGAUUCUAUUAUUCCUCUAUUUAUUCCUAACUCUAGCUAACUACCUUUCCCUUCAAAAGUUCCUCUGUUACAAAUCUGUUAGACCUAAAGGCCACUUGCCAUGCUUAUUUGUCUUGUAUGCUAGCCCAUAUAAAUAGUCUCUAACAAAAUGCGAGGUAACUGGUUAAGCCUUCUCGAAGUCCUGAUAGUUGGAAGCUGAGUGAGAUUUUUGCAACUGGGAUUGUCCUAGGAGGUUAUCUGACUCUAAUGACAGUGAUAUUCUUUUGAGCAGCAUAUAAAAUACACUUUUUUCCUAACCAUUUUCAUGUGAGACAUCUCCACGGAGAUCUUCAUGGUCCACCUACUCAUGAAGAGAGUAAAAUGCUAGGAGCUGCUAUAUAUCUUCAAGUCAGUAUAAUUAGUCAAGCCUUAAUUUUUGUGAAUCGCUCAAGGGGAUGGUCCUAUACAAAAAGGCCCGGUGUUUUGCUUAUGAUCGCUUUUGUUAUAACUCAACUGAUUGCAACUAUUGUAUCUGCCUUUCUCUCUUAGGAGCUAGCAAGAAUCAAAGCCAUAGGAUGGAGUUAGACGGGAAUCAUCUGGGUUUACUCUAUUAUAACUUACUUAUUUUUGGAUCCUAUAAAGUUUGCUGUUCGUUAUGCAUUAAGUGGAAGAGCUUGGAAUUUGGUGGUAGCCAAACAUGGGGAUCACAAGAAAUUGUUGAAGAGGACAAGAGAGAGUUUCUUGUGUUAAAGAGUUGCUUGUGAAGCAAUUGCUGAAGUUGAAUACUAUUGAGGUUGAAGGUGAAGCUAAGUUGCGGAAAAAAGUUGAGGAUUAAGUUACAAGUACAAUUGUUAGCUUUCAUGUUUGGAUUAAUUUAGGAUUUUUUGAAUUUACAUUUUAUUGAUUAUGAUUAUGUAAAAUUUGUCGAAUUCAACUUUUGAAAUAUAUUGUUGCUAUUUUUGUAAAACUUACAAGAUUAAGUUUAAAUUUAUUGAAAUAUUAUGCCAUUUAUUA